ensembl:snoRNA SNORD20 small nucleolar RNA, C/D box 20
UGGAUGUGAUGACUGAUUAUCUGAGAAUUACUGAUGAAAUCUCUAGAAAAUUCCUCUAGAUAGUCAAGUUCUGAUCCAG